UCCAGUCCCACUCACACACACAGACAGACAAAGUCCAACAGCUGACUGGUAUGGACAUAGUAUACAGCCAGUAGUUCUCCCACACAGACAGUGUUGCAAAGCAGUGACAAGAUCAAGAUGGCCUCAUUGACCGGCGUGUUGUUUCUGGUGUUGUGGACAGUGGUCAAGCCCAGCUGGGGUCAACAACCUUCAGUGGUUACCAGGACCAUGUUCGUGAACGCCUUGUUGACAGACUACGACAACACUGUCACGCCAACUUUUGACGAACGUAAGUCAGCCUUGUGAUGUCUAUACUUUGUACAUUGACCAUUGUACUCUUAUAAUGAUAAAAAAAAUACAGUAGUUCGUUUUGGUGUGUUUCCUAUGUGUGAAGAAAAACCCGGUAAGGAUUCAGAUGACUUAUGGCUUCCUAGCCUCGGCAAAUGAGACCAUUCUGUCAGUAAAAUAGUUUGCCACAUUUUGUGCAUUUAAACUUUUUUCCUCAUUUUUUGUGUGUGGAUGUAUGCAUGUAAGAAACUGAGCUCCUGAUCUUAUAGUUCUUGGUGGAAUAUACAUUUCGUCGGUCAUCUCACGAAGUCGUAAUGAGAGCAGCUCACCAUUACUAUCUUCAGAAGGCUUAUCGGAAUCUGAAGCUUGUCUCUUGCUUUAGUGGACUUGCUUUGAGGAUAAAUUUAAGUGGACCUGGUUAUAGUGUUUUGCAGGAGAGAGGUUUAAAGUUUUGGGCACUUUUGUUUUUGCUCUGGCGUCGAAUCCGGAAGACUGGAAUCUAUGCAGUUUGGAUCAAAGCUUCUUUGAGUGGUACAUUUUCACUCCACAUGCUGUUUUCGGCAGUAUUGUAUCAUUCUUGUGAGAAAAUCGGCAGAAAAUUCGAUUCGUCACUUCGUGAUAUAUACAUUCAUCGUUCCCAUCAUCAAUGGAUAUCCCACCAAGUGUCGUAUCAUUACAUUUACUUUGUAUUGCAGGAAGGAAAAACACUGUGUUUCUAAUUUUUGUUUCAUAAUACGCAAAAUGAAAGAAUCAAAUCACAAUGGCAUAAAAACAUGAGAUCUCACUAUGAUUUUCACAGUUUAUUGAAGAAAAUUUGAACAAAUAAAGACAUGUUUUGGAGCUUUUUUUGCUCAUUUGAACUGUAACCAUGUUAGACAGCAAUUCGCAUUAUGUAGAUGUAUCAGCAAGUAACACUAUGAGUAUCCAAGAAUAUCUCAGUCAAAUUUUAUGGGGGAGUGCAAAGUAGAAAGCCUUGUAAUCAGCUUGGCUUAUCACGGGCGUUACGCCAGAGCAGAGCGACACUAAGUCAUUGUAUUUAUCCAUUGGAACUUUGGUAGGUUCUGUACUGAGUUUGAAGAGAGUGAAACUCUCAGUGAUUUGCUUUGUGUGUCUCUUCAAUUGGAUUGUUCUGUACUCUGACUCAAUACGGCUGGUUUUGAAGAAUAUUGUUGUUGGGCACUCCUUCAGAACUCUGAACACCAUCUUUUUGUUUUAGUUGAUAGUGUCAUUCUCUGAAUCUCUUUGAACUCCCAGAACACGAGUGAUAGUUGCUUGGAAUUUCAGAAGUCAGAGAACUCAAGUGGUAUCACGGCUGCUUUGCUCUGGCAAGUCUGAAUAUGGGUGUCAGCUCUGUUGGUACAUAGAUGUUCCCAGCUGCAGACAUCGCAGAGGAGAUAGUGCUAUGAACAGAGCCCCCCUCAUUUUGGCCGUAGUUUGUCACAAAGAACCGCUGGGAGAUCUCUCUGAGAUUUGGAAGCGUGUUCACAGCGUGUAGCAACAUUGUUGGAAUGAUAGUGUUUUUGUUCUGCCCCGGGCAGCCAUCCAAAAAAGAGGUAUGCUAUCUUUUUUCCACAUCUGUCAUAGUGCUGAAGCGCUUCGAACACAGCUGUGGAUAUUUCUGAGCUUCUACGCUUGGUUUGGCUUUCAUUCCACAGGAAGUAGUGGCAGUCAGCAUUUCCAAGGUUAUAAAAAGUCAUGUUAUAGUUGGAGAAGCUCCGCUUGUAAAACAAAGCACUUUCAUUCAAGAUGGGAAGAUAUAUUACUUGCUGCAGAUCGAAUGUAGCAAUCAGAACUGUUCCAUCCUUUGAUGCCCUUUGCUUGCAUUCCUCCUUUAUUUCUCUUACUCUUUUCUUUUCAGAGACAUGUUUCUCAAAUGCGUCUUGAGUUCAGCCUUUGUUGUUUCAUCCCCUUCAAAGAACGUUGUGCACAGUGAGCAUUGGUUCUUUUUGGGUGCGUGGAAAGCCAAGUUGGGUUUUUUUAACACUCGGCGGUACGUACUGAAAACUGGAGGGUCAGUCCCAUGUUACUGCUCUACAAACAUGGAGUACAUUUUUUAAAGGUUCAGGUCUGGGUGCAGAUACUCCUUUGCAGGGCUUGCACGGCAAUAAUGUGAUUCCAUCCUUGGGAACCGCCGCAGGUGCUCUUCGAAGCUUCAAUGUCAUAUCGAAUUCUUGUGUCUCUUUCAACAAUUUUUGCUGACUGCCGACCACCUCUUCUUUCUUUCUCUAUUGUUCCACUGGGUGUCAGUUUCUUGAAGGCUGUUCUCACUGUUCUGUCUUAUAUGGCUAAAGUGUUCAAAAGAGUUUUUUGCAAACUUUAACACGGCUUCCUUGAGCAGUCAGGUACUAUACAUUGGUCUUCUGGCGCCGACUUUGGUGUGAGCUUUCCUUCUUCUUGUCACUGUUCACUAUAUGGGGCAGAAUAAACUCACGUUGAAGUUGGAGGCUUGCAAGUAAAUAGAAUUAUUGGAAAUUGUCUUUCCUCAGUGGCUCUGUGAUUGUAUCACACUCUAGUUCUCUAUUCUUGCACGUUACACUUAAGCAGGCUUCCCCCAUGUUCUUCACAGGCAUAGUUUCUUUGUAUAAGGGCUGAAAUAAUCUUCAACUGAAGCCAAUUUUCUCUUGGCUGCCUUUUGCUUUUUGAUUCGUGGCUGCUUUUCAACAGCAAUUUCUUUUGGUGAGCCUUCAAGAACGAAAUGUUUUGGUUGUUCACUGGAUUCAGGCACCUUUCUAUUUUCUUUCACUGCUUUCUUUUCCUCUUUUUCUUGUUCAAUUCUGUUUUCUUCCUAUUGUCAUGAUCACACACAUUUGUGUCCUCCACAAAACGAUCAUAUCAUAAAAGAGCAUCACACCUAUCACAUGCUAAAAAAACUUCCUCUUUACAACGCCUAGUUUCACACAGCCCCGGUUGAAAUGAUGGAUCAGUGUCAGAAUUGCCAAACCCAAAAGACUCCUUAGCAGUAGCACCCUGGCAUUUAGAGAUAACUUCAGCCAAAAGGCACUCAUUUUUUAAGGAGCUUCAGCAGAAAUCGCAGUUUCUCUCAACAAGUUUCAAGACUACGUGCGUAAUGGCGGCAUGAACUUCCACUGCCUCAUGCCAGAUUGCUCAUUUGCAAGUUUAAGGGCUGCAAGAGGCCAAAUGUCAAUGGCUAUGAAAGUGUCAAUAUACUGUUGAUAGAGAUACGUCCCUUCGUGAGAUUGGCAAUGACCGAUACUGAGAGAACAGUAUAUUGUUAUUGUAUCUCACGAAGUGACGUAUGAUACGAUACGACUCUUCAUGACAUUGAAAACCUCCUGAUUUUACAAUACGACAUAACUCGGAUAUCUUAUAAUUCAAAAACUAGUAGAGAUAGCACCUUUUCGCUUUGAGAGAAAACGGAUCUCAUCACGCUGAUCGGCGUGGUAUAAAUAACUCAAAAUGCCCAAAAAUGCAGUUACGACCCUUCAUGAGAUGACCUUUGAAUAAAGCUGCUUAAACAAGGGGUCUUUAUUGUUAACACAUUUAUGGCAAAGGACGGCAAUCUUUAAGGUAAUUCUCGGUGCUGUUGGAAGCCAAAAAAGUUUCUUUAAAAAGCAGGGAUUGUGAUAGCUUCUCCUCUUUUUAGAGACGAUUCUCACUUCUUGAUCUUUAAAAGCGCUGUCCGUUCAAAAUGGUGAUGUUCAGGAGGUUUGCAAAGAGAGAGUUGCAAUAUAAUACAUGCGGGAAAACACACAAUAAGAUGAAGUGACAGUUUUUAUUUAAGCACACAGACAACGAACCAAUUAAUUCUGCUUAAUUCUCUGUGAGGCAUUUAACAU